rnacentral:tRNA from 1 species
UAGCUCAGCAGUUAGAGCACUGGCCUUGCAAACCAGAGGCUGUGAGUUUGAGCCUCAU